rnacentral:tRNA from 1 species
GACCGCGUAGCUCAGUUGGAAGAGCAUUGAGCUAGUAUUCCAAAGGUCGUAGGUUCGAAUCCCACCGUAGCCG